rnacentral:lncRNA from 1 species
UUUCUAGACUAUUAAAAUAAUAAAAUUAAAUAUAAACUUAUAAAUAAUAAUUUGUGGGUGUAGAUAGAAAUCUACCAAAGAAACGGGGGAAUGUUAAGAAGCAAAUCGAAACUCUUGGAAAAUGUCGCUCUAUACCUAUUCACAAGUGACAUUUUCUCACAGCCGAUCCAAUUUAUAGUUGUUUCAACUGAAUCCAAACUCUCUGUCUUUCGGAUCGAAAUAGAAAACGAACAGGAGCUAAAAGCUAGAAAGGGGACCAAACGUCAUGCAGAUGGUAUAGAAAGGAGAAGAAAAAUAAGGCAAUAAAGUGAAAAGACACAAAAAUAAACGAAAUCGCGAAGAAUGAGUGGAUUAAUCGACAUGCAAAUAGUAAGAAAUGGAGUAAUAAAAUAUAACAAAAGAGAAGGGACGGAAAGAAGAAAUACGUAAUUCU